CAGCCUGCCAGUGACUCUGUUCAACGGCCGCGGUAUCCUAACCGUGCGAAGGUAGCGUAAUAUUGUUCUUUAAAUGUGGACUAGUAUGAAUGGCACUACGAGGGUUAUACUGUCUCCUUUUUCUAAUCAGUGAAACUAAUUUUCCCGUGAAGAAGCGGGAAUAAAAAUAUAAGACGAGAAGACCCUAUGGAGCUUUAAACAACCCAGCAAUUACUUCUAAAAUUUUAAAUUUCAGAAUAUUCAUUUUCUAAGUAAUAUGUCUGCAAGUUUUUGGUUGGGGUGACCAUGGAGAAUAACACAACCUCCAUAUUGAAUGAAUUCCCUUCUAAGCUAAAAAUUACUUAUUGAAGCAUCAAUACACUGACAUCUAUUGACCCAAUAUAUUUGAUCAACGAACCAAGUUACCCUAGGGAUAACAGCGCAAUCCACUUCAAGAGCCCCUAUCGACAAGUGGGUUUACGACCUCGAUGUUGGAUCAGGGUAUCCCAGUGGCGCAGCCCUACUAAAGGUUCGU
rnacentral:rRNA from 1 species